rnacentral:rRNA from 1 species
GAGCAAUCCAUGGAGUAAAGUGGCGUACGGGUGAGUAACACGUGGAUAAUCUGCCCUUUAGUGGGGAAUACCGUUGGGAAACCGACGACAAUACCGCAUAAGCUCGAGAGAGGAAAGCAGCAAUGCGCUGAAGGAGGAGUCCGCGGUCGAUUAGCUAGUUGGUGAGGUAAUGGCUCACCAAGGCUGUGAUCGAUAGCCGGCCUGAGAGGGCACACGGCCACACUGGCACUGAAACACGGGCCAGACUCCUACGGGAGGCAGCAGUGGGGAAUCUUGCACAAUGGGGGAAACCCUGAUGCAGCGACGCCGCGUGAGCGAUGAAGCCCUUCGGGGUGUAAAGCUCUUUCGGCAGGGAAGAUAAUGACGGUACCUGCAGAAGCAGCUGCGGCUAACUACGUGCCAGCAGCCGCGGUAAUACGUAGGCAGCAAGCGUUGUUCGGAGUUACUGGGCGUAAAGGGUGCGUAGGCGGUCCUAUAAGUAUGGUGUGAAAUCUCCCGGCUUAACUGGGAGGGUGCGCUAUAGACUGUGGGACUAGAGUGUGGGAGAGGAAAGUGGAAUUCCUGGUGUAGCGGUGAAAUGCGUAGAUAUCAGGAGGAACACCGGUGGUGUAAACGGCUUUCUGGACCAUAACUGACGCUGAGGCACGAAAGCGUGGGUAGCAAACAGGAUUAGAUACCCUGGUAGUCCACGCCCUAAACGAUGCAU